GGGGGCGUGGUCUAGGGGUCAGGACGUCUGCCUUUCACGCAGAAGAUCGCGGGUUCGAAUCCCGCCGCCCCUA
rnacentral:tRNA from 1 species